CUCACACCUUUGACCUCACCUUUUGUCAUGCAACUCUUGGGGUCAGAGUGAGCCACGUUUUCAUUUGGACUUUCUCCAUUUGCAGGUGCCUUGGAAACUGUGUGGAUCUGGCUGGGAGUCCCUAAAACGUAUUAUUAUUGGGCUUUUGUAUAUUUAUCACUAUUUAUGGGGUGCUAAACACGUGUGUGAAGGGAGUUCAGUCCCGUUCGCUGGUGCAUCAUCAACUUGCGAAUGAAUGAGCGCAUGACCUCUAUUUCUCCCAGGUCCCCCCUUUACGCAAAAAGAAGUUGAGGCUCAGAGAGCUGAAGGGACUUACUUUGGUUACACAGCAGUCACAUCCAGGCCUUCCUUUUCUAUUUCCUCCUCAGAGUCAAGGUUGGUUUGACACUCUGCCAGUCACCAGCUCACCCUGAGAAAGCAUAAUGCAGUCAUCAGCUAGGAGGACAGAACUACCUGUCCCAGGUUGGACGUCAGCACUGCCAACACAUGGUGACACCCACACACUGUGACACACACACACACACAUGCUUGGGCCACACACAAGCCUCCCCAGUCUCCCCAGGUCCAGACGAGGAGCGGGAAUGGAGGGGGGAGCCCGCGGGGAUGGGGACACAGUGAGUCUCUCCCUGUGCAGGCCCCACUCCACCCUACGCCACACCACAGACAACGGAGGAAAGGGUCCAGGUGAGCUUCAGACCACGUCUGAGCCAGCCACACCCAUGGAACACAAAGAAGUCUCUCAUUACAGAAAAGGAAAUCUGACCCAGCGAUUCCCCUGCUUAAAACACCUUUCAGUGACGCGUUUGGCAGGAGGCGGUGGAGGCAGUGAGCAUUUGGAUCCAGGGAACAUUCCACGUUCUAGAACAAUCAUCUGUUUAUUGAUUGAUUUAGCAAGCAUUUAAUUACCACUUCCUGUGUGCUCCGCACAUGUUACUUCAUCUUCGCAGCAAGCUUUUAGGACCGUGUAUUUGUUCUGCUUUAUUAUGAACCACCCCAACCUUAGUGGCUUCAA
rnacentral:lncRNA from 1 species